UACAGAGGGUGCAAGCGUUGUUCGGAAUUAUUGGGCGGAAAGCGCGUGUAGGCGGCUUUGCAAGUCGGGUGUGAAAGCCCUCAGCUCAACUGAGGAAGUGCGCCCGAAACUGCAGAGCUUGAGUGCCGGAGAGGGUGGCGGAAUUCCCCAAGUAGAGGUGAAAUUCGUAGAUAUGGGGAGGAACACCGGUGGCGAAGGCGGCCACCUGGACGGUAACUGACGCUGAGACGCGAAAGCGUGGGGAGCGAACAGG
rnacentral:rRNA from 1 species